rnacentral:ncRNA from 1 species
ACCGCCGGUGGGGCCGCGCCCUACCUAAGAACCCCGGAAAAGAACUCCCACCCACCCCACCCAACUCAUCACCCCAUCGGGUGACUUGGGCGCGCAUAUGCCAAAGGUCGGGUUAGUCUCGCCGCAACAACCGCACACAGACGUCGGCCCCCGCCGGGACUGCCAUCCCGAAACGAGGGCCUGACCAACUAGGAAGACGAACCCUUCCCG